AUUGAACGCUGGCGGCAGGCUUAACACAUGCAAGUCGAGCGGGGUGAUGGUGCUUGCACUAUCACUUAGCGGCGGACGGGUGAGUAAUGCUUAGGAAUCUGCCUAUUAGUGGGGGACAACGUCUCGAAAGGGAUGCUAAUACCGCAUACGUCCUACGGGAGAAAGCAGGGGAUCACUUGUGACCUUGCGCUAAUAGAUGAGCCUAAGUCGGAUUAGCUAGUUGGUGGGGUAAAGGCCUACCAAGGCGACGAUCUGUAGCGGGUCUGAGAGGAUGAUCCGCCACAAGGGGAUUGAGACACGGCCCAGACUCCUACGGGAGGCAGCAGUGGGGAAUAUUGGACAAUGGGGGGAACCCUGAUCCAGCCAUGCCGCGUGUGUGAAGAAGGCCUUAUGGUUGUAAAGCACUUUAAGCGAGGAGGAGGCUCUUUUGGUUAAUACCCAAGAUGAGUGGACGUUACUCGCAGAAUAAGCACCGGCUAACUCUGUGCCAGCAGCCGCCGUAA
rnacentral:rRNA from 1 species